AUGGUAGAAGACAAACUGGCUGGUCGCUUUUUUUGGGAAGAAGUCUGUAGCGUGUUCGAGUCACGCCUACCAUA
rnacentral:tRNA from 1 species